GACGAACGCUGGCGGCGUGCUUAACACAUGCAAGUCGAACGGAAAGGCCCUGCUUUUGUGGGGUGCUCGAGUGGCGAACGGGUGAGUAACACGUGAGUAACCUGCCCUUGACUUUGGGAUAACUUCAGGAAACUGGGUCUAAUACCGGAUAGGAGCUCCUGCUGCAUGGUGGGGGUUGGAAAGUUUCGGCGGUUGGGGAUGGACUCGCGGCUUAUCAGCUUGUUGGUGGGGUAGUGGCUUACCAAGGCUUUGACGGGUAGCCGGCCUGAGAGGGUAACCGGGCACAUUGGGACUGAGAUACGGACCAGACUGCUACGGGAGGCAGCAGUGGGGAAUAUUGCACAAUGGGCGGAAGCCUGAUGCAGCAACGCCGCGUGCGGGAUGACGGCCUUCGGGUUGUAAACCGCUUUCGCCUGUGACGAAGCGUGAGUGACGGUAAUGGGUAAAGAAGCACCGGCUAACUACGUG
rnacentral:rRNA from 1 species